rnacentral:rRNA from 1 species
CUCUGUUUCGUAGGUGACCUGCGG